UCGCAUUUCUGGCGAGAGGAAUUGGUCCGACAUUUAUUGUGGGUACUCGAUUCUCUCUCGCCAUCCUUGAGUGGUCCGUUCUGGCAUUUAGUUGUCGGAGCGUCAGCCGCUCAUCGUUUACUGUGAGAAAAUUAGAGUGUUCAAAGCAGGCUUAUGCCGUUGAAUAUAUUAGCAUGGAAUAAUAAGAUAGGACCUCGGUGCUAUUUUGUUGGUUUGCGCACAGAGGUAAUGAUGAACAGGGACAGUUGGGGGUAUUUGUAUUUCGUUGUCAGAGGUGAAAUUCUUAGAUUUACGAAAGACAAACUACUGCGAAAGCAUUUACCAAGGAUGUUUUCAUUGAUCAAGAACGAAAGUAUGGGGAU
rnacentral:rRNA from 1 species